CUAAGGAAACAAUUAUCAUCUUCAGUUUUGAGAGACUUAAGAAAGUUUUUCAUUGUCACUUGCUUGCAAAUUGUAUUUGCAACAUUUUAAUCUUUUUAAGAUUAAGGGCCUAUAGCUCAGUUGGUUAGAGCACACGCCUGAUAAGCGUGAGGUCGGUGGUUCAAGUCCAUUUAGGCCCACCAUAACCACAAAUAGGCAAAAUCUUAAAAAAGCUCUUUGAAAAGUAGAUAAACGAAGGUUAAAAAAUC
rnacentral:misc_RNA from 6 species